UUUGGGAAUGGAACGCCGGUGUCUUGGUGUCUCGGAGCUGGGGGCACGGAGCCCGGGCCGCUACCCACCCCCACUCGGGCCGAGGGGUCCCCAGGGGCCCGCGUCUGCGCGCUACGGGCCGGGGCGCCCCCCCCCGCGUGGGCACCCUGGGCUCGGUGGCCCCCGGGGCCGGCCUGUAGAGCUGGAUGUGCGCGGCCGAGCUGACGGCAAAAAGAGUCCCGGAAGACCUGGCCUUGCAGCCUUCCCGAGAGGGGCCCCGAGGGCUCCCGGAGGCGGCGGCGUGCGCGGGGUGCUGACCUUGGAGCCCCGUCCGGGCGCGGCACUGGAGGGCUGGGCUCCGCGCGUCCCUGAGGUCGGAGGGGCCCCGAGACCAGAGCCCCCUCGCGCGCACAGGGCCAGGUCCGGUCCCCAAACCCGUGGCGCGCGGUCGGAAGGGAGACGCGAGGGGAGCCCGAGGGGACGGACCCGAAAGGUCCCGGCCACCUGGGUCAGCGUCUGCCAUGUAGUCGGUGCUCAGUAAAAACGGUAGAUGGAUGGAUGGAGUCGCAUCUUCUGACCUGUGCAUCAGAGUAGUGGAUCCACAUCGUGUCUCAGUGCUUACUUCUGUUGUUCAAAGAGAAGGAUUGUCAGCAUGGAAGUCAUAUUUUGUUAAAUUAAAAAAAAGACAGUAAUUUUCUGAA